rnacentral:lncRNA from 1 species
AUGCCCCAACAUCUCAGUCCAGCUCUGAACAGAGGCAAGGGCCAAGGGAGCAGGCUGCUGGAGAAGGACAACGUGGCCAAUGGAGUGAGGCCAAAACAUGCAAAUCAAAGGGAGAAAAAGGACAAGCUGGGAGUCACACCCCAGGCUAAAGAGGUCCUUCAGCAUCAGCAGCACCUGUCCACAGCCUGCAGACCCAGCUGGCAUGGGAGCCUGGGUACUUUGCAUGCUAUGCAUCCAUACCGCAUCCCAGCCCGCUCUUUGAAGCCAGGAUCUCUGCUGUACCCUGGCAUAUCGUGGAUUACAACGUUUCAGGCUGCCUGCUGCAGCUCAGCUGUAUGUCUGAUCUUGGAUCCUACUCACACAAUGCCCCUGGUGUUCCUCUGCCAAGUUGGAAGGACCAGUUUGCCUGCUCCUGGAAUCUGGAAGCAUAUCAUCAUCUACCAGGUGCAUAGGUCAGAAAAAGAUUAAUAUUUGUGGCUUACAGCUGUUGAAAUCAUCUCAGUGUGUGAGCCAUGAGGUAAUAGAGUCAAAGCUCUCUUAGCAGACAAGUGGAUGCUACUGGAAAAGAAAAAAAAAAGAAAAAAAAAAGAAAGCUCAUUAAAUUAAUCUGUCUAAGAAGGAAAAAGAACUUGUGGGAUUGCUGCCUGUGAGAUUAACAGCAAAUCUGAUGAUAAAAGAGGUUGGAAGCAAAGAUGGUUUGGUGGAGAGCAUCUCGUUUUCAGUCAACUUAUAUUAGAAAAGCCCUGAAGAAUAGAAUCAUUAAAUUAUUACUCUCUGAAGCAGUGCAGAAGGGCCUUGGAGGAAAUGCUGUCAUGUCACUAAAGAGUUUAAGAGUCUGUGGAGGUACCAGAGAUGUUCCUUAUUGAUUUGAAGGCUGGGGGCAGAGGGCAGGAGGUUGGUGGAUUUGUUACUUUGACUGGCUAUAACCGUGUUGGAAACUCUCAAGAAAAAAAAAAAAAACCUUGCAGAGAAAAACUCCAGCACUGCCCUACUUUAAAUACAGCUGAGCUGCUUGACACCGGCGAUUUCAGGCUGAUCUCUGCGACGCACUUCACAGCAGUACGUGCUGCCUCAUCCAGAGCUGAUCACCACCAGCCAAGGGGUGUGUGACGUCCAUUUCCCCAGGGGGCAAUGAUCCCCAAUCAGGAAGGGAUACAGAGCAGUCUGAGGGCAUUCAUCAGGGCCACGACUGAUGAGGGUAGCAGGUGCGCCUUGCAACGGGUGCCUGACAAGGAGAACCUGGUUUUUUAACCUUCAGAUAAAUUCUUCAAUUUGGCCAACGUACCCAGAGGAGGAGAGAACAGUCCUGAUGAAUUUUUCAAUUCAGCCUUGAUUCCUUGGAGAAAGAAAAGAGAAAAGCUGACACUGGGAUGUACAAGGGCUGCGUCGAGAACAACAAGGCUGCUGCCUUGGAAGAUCAGCUCUUUCUGAGCAGUCCAAGGCCCAGGAGCCUGGCACCUGGCAGGCAUGUCCCUUCCCACCUCCAUUACUGUGGAACCUAGCACCAGAAGUCCCAGGUCCCCACAGUGCCUGAUGCACUGCUCACACGGCUCUGCAGAGAUCACUGCAGGCAGUCGGGGUCCGUGCCAGGCACUGCUCUCCUGAAGACCUCCAUCUGCCUCCAGACAAGACUGAAUGGUCCUUCCAAGGACCAGGGAUGCCCCUGGGUUGGCACAUGUAGCAAGACAAAGUCCACACGCCCAGAAGGCUGCUGGGCUGGGAGAAGAGCCAGAAGAAAAGGCACACAAGGACUUUGCGUGCACUAAAAAGUCAUCUAAAGGCAAUCAAUUGCUUUGCCAGUUAUGGAUUUGCAGAAUGUUGGUGCCUGAACUUGGGAAAGGAUGCACAGUGGGAGCAGGGCCCCAGAGGAAGCAGCAUCCCUGAGUUCAGCUGCCAUGGGCCACAGAAAGAGGCAAUUCCCUUUCAGGGAUAGGAUCAUUGCUUCCUGUCCCUGCAUUUUCCCAGAGCCUUCCAUUCAGUGCCCUGUUGGAGGCCCUUCUUGAACAAUACACACUUCUGCAUAUGGGCCCCUGCACGUGGCAUCAGACCAACCAUGGAGGCUCCAACAAGGACAGACAGGAGUGGGGAUGUGCCUAAUUAGGGCAGAAACACCAGGGACCGGGGUGUGCAGACCUGCCUUGCCCUCUGCUCAAGCGCAGCCAUUCACAUGCAGGCUACAUGUUAUUGCUGCUCCAAGAAGAGAGCUAGAUCCACUUAUUUUUUUCAUUAAAAUGCAAAUUAAUUUAAUAAAAAGUAGAAUUGUAAAUUAAUAAAGCA